rnacentral:rRNA from 1 species
CUACGGGGGGCAGCAGUGGGGGAUAUUGCACAAUGGGCGAAAGCCUGAUGCAGCAACGCCGCGUGAAGGAAGACGGAUUUCGGUCUGUAAACUUCUAUCAGCUGGGAAGAUAAUGACGGUACCAGACUAAGAAGCCCCGGCUAACUACGUGCCAGCAGCCGCGGUAAUACGUAGGGGGCAAGCGUUAUCCGGAUUUACUGGGUGUAAAGGGUACGUAGGCGGUUUGUUAAGUCAGAUGUGAAAAUCCGGGGCUCAACCUCGGAACUGCAUUUGAAACUGGCAAACUAGAGUGCAGGAGAGGAAAGCGGAAUUCCUAGUGUAGCGGUGAAAUGCGUAGAUAUUAGGAAGAACACCAGUGGCGAAGGCGGCUUUCUGGACUGUAACUGACGCUGAGGUACGAAAGCGUGGGGAGCGAACAGGAUUAGAUACCCGCGUAGUC